AGUGAACGCUGGCGGUAGGCCUAACACAUGCAAGUCGAACGGCAGCACAGAGGAGCUUGCUCCUUGGGUGGCGAGUGGCGGACGGGUGAGGAAUACAUCGGAAUCUACUCUGUCGUGAGGGAUAACGCAGGGAAACUUACGCUAAUACCGCAUACGACCUACGGGUGAAAGCAGGGGAUCUUCGGACCUUGCGCGAUUGAAUGAGCCGAUGUCGGAUUAGCGAGUUGGCGGGGUAAAGGCCCACCAAGGCGACGAUCCGUAGCUGGUCUGAGAGGAUGAUCAGCCACACUGGAACUGAGACACGGUCCAGACUCCUACGGGAGGCAGCAGUGGGGAAUAUUGGACAAUGGGCGCAAGCCUGAUCCAGCCAUACCGCGUGGGUGAAGAAGGCCUUCGGGUUGUAAAGCCCUUUUGUUGGGAAAGAAAUCCAUCUGGUUAAUACCCGGGUGGGAUGACGGUACCCAAAGAAUAAGCACCGGCUAACUUCGUGCCAGCCGCCGCGGUAA
rnacentral:rRNA from 1 species